rnacentral:tRNA from 1 species
GUAGCUCAGUUGGUAGAGCGUACGACUGAAAAUCGUAAGGUCACCGGAUCGACGCCGGUC